GCGCCCAUAGCUCAACUGGAUAGAGCAUCGGACUACGAAUCCGAAGGUUGGAGGUUCGAAUCCUCCUGGGCGUG
rnacentral:tRNA from 1 species